GGAUUGGCGCAUCGGUCGUGCCUUACGGGGUAUGAACUGGUGCAGUCAAUUUCUCACCUUCUGGAGAACCGCGAUGUCCUUAAUUGGGUGCCGCGGGGAACCAGGACCUUUACUUUGAAAAAAUUAGAGUGUUUAAAGCAGGCAUUUUUGCUUGAAUACAUUAGCAUGGAAUAAUAAAAUAGGACGGCAUGGUUCUAUUUUGUUGGUUAUAAAGCCGAGGUA
rnacentral:rRNA from 1 species